rnacentral:rRNA from 1 species
UACGGAGGGGGCUAGCGUUGUUCGGAAUUACUGGGCUUAAAGCGCACGUAGGCGGCUUUGUAAGUUAGAGGUGAAAGCCUGGAGCUCAACUCCAGAAUUGCCUUUAAGACUGCAUCGCUUGAAUCUAGGAGAGGUGAGUGGAAUUUCGAGUGUAGAGGUGAAAUUCGUAGAUAUUCGGAAGAACACCAAUGGCGAAGGCGGCUCACUGGACUGGUAUUGACGCUGAGGUGCGAAAGCGUGGGGAGCAAACAGG